rnacentral:rRNA from 1 species
UACGAAGGGGGCUAGCGUUGCUCGGAAUCACUGGGCGUAAAGGGUGCGUAGGCGGGUCUUUUAAGUCAGGGGUGAAAUCCUGGAGCUCAACUCCAGAACUGCCUUUGAUACUGAGGAUCUUGAGUUCGGGAGAGGUGAGUGGAACUGCGAGUGUAGAGGUGAAAUUCGUAGAUAUUCGCAAGAACACCAGUGGCGAAGGCGCUCACUGGCCCGAUACUGACGCUGAGGCACGAAGGCCAGGGGAGCAACGGGAUAGAA